GAUGAAUGCUAGCGGCAGGCCUAACACAUGCAAGUCGAGGGGUAGAAGGAGCUUGCUCCUUUGAGACCGGCGCACGGGUGCGUAACGCGUAUGCAAUCUACCUUUUACAGAGGGAUAGCCCAGAGAAAUCUGGAUUAAUACCUCAUAGUAUAUAUCAUUCGCAUGUUUGGUAUAUUAAAGUUCCAACGGUAAAAGAUGAGCAUGCGUCCCAUUAGUUAGUUGGUAAGGUAACGGCUUACCAGGACGGUGAUGGGUAGGGGUCCUGAGAGGGAGAUCCCCCACACUGGUACGGAGACACGGACCAGACGCCUACGGGAGGCAGCAGUGAGGAAUAUUGGUCAAUGGACGCAAGUCUGAACCAGCCAUGCCGCGUGCAGGAAGACGGUCCUAUGGAUUGUAAACUGCUUUUGUACGGGAAGAAACACUCCUACGUGUAGGAGCCUGACGGUACCGUAAGAAUAAGGAUCGGCUAACUCCGUGCCAGCCGCCGCAGUAA
rnacentral:rRNA from 1 species